rnacentral:rRNA from 1 species
GACGAACGUUGGCGGCGUGCUUAACACAUGCAAGUCGAACGGAAAGGCCCUGCUUUUGUGGGGUGCUCGAGUGGCGAACGGGUGAGUAACACGUGAGUAACCUGCCCUUGACUUUGGGAUAACUUCAGGAAACUGGGGCUAAUACCGGAUAGGAGCUCCUGCUGCAUGGUGGGGGUUGGAAAGUUUCGGCGGUUGGGGAUGGACUCGCGGCUUAUCAGCUUGUUGGUGGGGUAGUGGCUUACCAAGGCUUUGACGGGUAGCCGGCCUGAGAGGGUGACCGGCCACAUUGGGACUGAGAUACGGCCCAGACUCCUACGGGAGGCAGCAGUGGGGAAUAUUGCACAAUGGGCGGAAGCCUGAUGCAGCAACGCCGCGUGCGGGAUGACGGCCUUCGGGUUGUAAACCGCUUUCGCCUGUGACGAAGCGUGAGUGACGGUAAUGGGUAAAGAAGCACCGGCUAACUACGUGCCAGCAGCCGCGGUGAUACGUAGGGUGCGAGCGUUGUCCGGAUUUAUUGGGCGUAAAGGGCUCGUAGGUGGUUGAUCGCGUCGGAAGUGUAAUCUUGGGGCUUAACCCUGAGCGUGCUUUCGAUACGGGUUGACUUGAGGAAAGGUAGGGGAGAAUGGAAUUCCUGGUGGAGCGGUGGAAUGCGCAGAUAUCAGGAGGAACACCAGUGGCGAAGGCGGUUCUCUGGGCCUUUCCUGACGCUGAGGAGCGAAAGCGUGGGGAGCGAACAGGCUUAGAUACCCUGGUAGUCCACGCUGUAAACGGUGGGUACUAGGUGUGGGGUCCAUUCCACGGGUUCCGUGCCGUAGCUAACGCUUUAAGUACCCCGCCUGGGGAGUACGGCCGCAAGGCUAAAACUCAAAGGAAUUGACGGGGCCCCGCACAAGCGGCGGAGCAUGCGGAUUAAUUCGAUGCAACGCGUAGAACCUUACCUGGGUUUGACAUGGAUCGGGAGUGCUCAGAGAUGGGUGUGCCUCUUUUGGGGUCGGUUCACAGGUGGUGCAUGGCUGUCGUCAGCUCGUGUCGUGAGAUGUUGGGUUAAGUCCCGCAACGAGCGCAACCCUUGUUCACUGUUGCCAGCACGUUAUGGUGGGGACUCAGUGGAGACCGCCGGGGUCAACUCGGAGGAAGGUGGGGAUGACGUCAAGUCAUCAUGCCCCUUAUGUCCAGGGCUUCACGCAUGCUACAAUGGCUGGUACAGAGAGUGGCGAGCCUGUGAGGGUGAGCGAAUCUCGGAAAGCCGGUCUCAGUUCGGAUUGGGGUCCGCAACUCGACCUCAUGAAGUCGGAGUCGCUAGUAAUCGCAGAUCAGCAACGCUGCGGUGAAUACGUCCCCGGG